rnacentral:rRNA from 1 species
GAUCAACGCUGGCGGCGUGCCUAAUGCAUGCAAGUCGAACGGGCUUCUCUUCGGAGGAGUCACGUGGCGGACGGGUGAGGAACACGUGGGCGACCUACCCUGGGGCGGGGGAUAGCCGCGAGAAAUCGUGGGUAAUUCCGCAUGUGCUCCCUUGAGCGUGGCUUGAGGGAGGAAAGGCGCGCAAGCGCCACCCUUGGCGGGGCCUGCGGCCGAUUAGCUAGUUGGGGGGGUAACGGCUUCCCAAGGCGAUGAUCGGUAGCUGGUCUGAGAGGACGGCCAGCCACACGGGGACUGAGACACGGCCCCGACUCCUACGGGAGGCAGCAGCAAGGAAUCUUCCGCAAUGGGCGAAAGCCUGACGGAGCAACGCCGCGUGCGGGAUGACGCCUUUCGGGGUGUAAACCGCUUUUCUGGGGGAAGAAGAUCAGCUUCGGUUGAUUUGACGGUACCGCAGGAAGAAGGACCGGCUAACUACGUGCCAGCAGCCGCGGUAAAAC